CAAGGUUGUCCAGCUCCUAUACUUGUUCGGAGUUUCCGACCCACUUUGUGUCCAAGAGUAGCCAGAUCAUUAGGAAAAGAACUAUUUACCGAAGCUAUUAGUGGUCAGAUGGAAUUAUUCUGUUCUGAGAGCUUGAAUCUUUGUAGAAAGUUCUCUUUUGAUCCCUAUCACCACCAAAUGUCUUUGAUUCUGAAAAUCUGUAUUCUUUUUCGGAAUGCUUCUUUUUUGGUUAAUAAUAACUAAGUUUGAAGAAAGGUUAGUUUUCCUUUUGAGAUAAGGGGUCAGGUUAACUAGUUUUUCUUACAAAUACCUGUAGUCUUAUUCACGCUCCCAACCAUUACAGAUACAAUGCUAUCAAAGAAAUUGCAAAGUAAUCCUGUACAACUAUGAAUUACAACGAGAUCUCUUGGAGACAUCUUCGUCUUGGUAUCAAUCCUGGACUUCUUAUCUUUUAUUUUUUCAGCUCUGAGGACACUGAGCAGGCAGUGCGUAUUGAGGCCCCACCAUUGCCAGACCACUUUCCACCUGUUUCUGCAGUGACGCCAUGGGGAUUGCUAAUUAAGUAUUUUCUGAGGGUUGAUGCUGGUGGACUCUUCCACACGUAUCCUCAUCGAGGUGGUCCGUUUAAGACCUUACAAGAAGCUCAGGAUGCUAUAGACUCCUAUCACACUAAUCUGUGUAAAUUCAAGUAAAUCUUCUCUCAACUUUGUUUCUAUUUUCAAGUGUUGGAUAAUGCUUAUAUGUAUAUGCUAUGUCCUAUGCUAGCACCUUAUAUGCAAGUAUAUUUCUCAUUAGCUCACUCCUAACUUAUAGUUUAGGCCACUAUUAGCUUGGAACACCCGAUGGUGAUAAGUUGCAGUUUUAAUGAAGUGGACAUAAUAGUGUUGUGGCAAAAGAUCAAUUUCUUAAAGUCAGUGUAUCUAAAGAUCAAUCAUCCAGGCUUUGUACUUUUUCUGAGCUAUGUGACUGUGUCUUCAGAUUCCUGACCCAGUGAUGUUUUGCGGGUCGGGACUUAAUGACCUCUUGUUUGUGAUCACUGUGGACCAUUGCCGCUGUGAUAUAAGAGCAAUCCGUUGAGAUCUCCUUUGGUUUACACGAAUAUUUAAUGAUAGGAAUUUUGUAGGGAAAAUUAAUCUGAAGCCCUUCGGUUUAUUGGAAUGGAUUCCUAUUCCUAUGUAGGCUAGGAACGAAUCUUUCACGUUUCAAAGGGAAAACAAAAUUAGCCUAGACCCAAUGGUAAAGUUCCUAUCCUAUGUAUCAAAUGUGCAGCCUUUAAUGAAGCCUUAUUUUUAGGCUCUUUUUAUAAGAUUAGCCAGAACAUCAGCAGCAAUGUUAAAAAGUGAAGGAGAGAAGGUGUCUUUUUGCUUGAGUCUCUUCCUAGUAACAAAGUACUCCCACUGUACCAUAAUAUAUGACGUUUAAGCAGCUCAAAUUGAACUGCUAAAACGUCAUAUAUUAUGGUACGGAGGGAGUAACUACCUAUCAUGUCAUUCAGAGUAUUAGCAACAUGCAGCUUUAGUCCACAAUGCAAACUUCCUAGGGAAACCUUUCAUUUGUAGGACUGAAAACAUAAAUUCCAAAUUGAUUUUGCCGUAUGCCUUCUCAAAAUCUACUUUAAGAAAAACAACAUGUUUUUUUGCUCUUAUGUAAAGAAUGUAAGGUCUCAAUGUAGCAUUACUACACUUUCUAAAAUAUACGGCCUUUAAUAAAAGCAUUAUGAAUCUUGGAUGUUACAUUCUCUGUAACCAGCAUAGUCUCACUUAGCAAUCAGGGUCUUGGUAAUAAGUAAACAAGUGCCACACCAAGCGUGCAAAUAGGUUUCUACAUUUGGAUCUUGUCAGCUCCCUGCCCCUUGCCAAUCAGGGUAACAAUUCCAUAGUAGAAUUUUUUAAGAUCACAAGCUUUGUGCUUGCACUUUGAAAUCUCUGACCCUCGCAUAUCACGUUGUUUAUCCGAACUAGGUACUUGGGUGAGCUUUCCAAUGAGGACAGGUAUGUCUGGCAUAAACUAUAUUGGCGUAAUGGCACAAGGAAGAACUCGAAAGAAGCUUUGGACGCAAUGAAGAACUAUAAGCCCACUCGUGAAGUAGUUAAAGCUUUACUGGACAAGCACAAUGAAGACCAUCUUUUGGAGGUUUGCUAUCUCCCUUGCUCUCUCUUGCCAUUUUUCUUGAUUGCCGCUCUCCCUCACCGUCCUUCUUUUGUUUUAGGAUCUUGCAUAUGAAUUCAAGAAAGUUAUGAGUUACAAAGCUCACUUCCCGAGAAAAGAUUCUCAGCAUGAAUGCAGGUCCUUCUCACAUUUAAAUGUGCUUGUAGAAAGAGGACCUAAUGCCACCAAAGAUCUUCUCUUCAUUGAAAUGACCUGCAAAACAGAUGGGGAAUUUGAGGAAUACGUGCUUAGUUGCAUUUGUGUGGUUUCAUCCGACGAUGAUGGUAUGUUUGCAUUUUCUUUAUUUUAACUAUUCAAUUCUUCCAUGCAGUAUAUCAUAUGAAAAUCAGUAAAAUUUUGCAUUCUAUUCAUACUUUGUAUCACCGAGUCGGAAAUGUUAUGCUGGACCUAGUAACCAUGUAGUGCAGAUUUAUAUAUUGCCCAAUGAAAUCAUGCUCAGUUCUACUGGUAGCCAAUAUACGGAUACUCCACAAGAGAGAAGACCAUGCUGUGACAGAUUCUGUAUGAAUUGUACUAUGAUAGUCAUCAAGCUCUAGCAUUUCUUUUGUACAUUAAAUUGCUAAUUGUAGGUGAGUGCUGUGAAUGCGAUGAUGUACAUUAGAUAUUGAUUGACAAAACUAGACCAUAAUUGUAGGUGAGUGCUGUGAAUGUGGUGAUGAUGUGAAGCAUCCCACUGGUGUGGAGUACAAAAAGGGUGAAGCCAAGCUCCGUUUUCGGUGCGGGAGGCGUAUAUCAGCUGAAGAAUUUAAUAAGGUACAGCAUUAUUUUGUUGGCAAAAUUUGUAGAUCGAUAUGUAUGUGCAGAUGAGUCAAUGUUAGUUUCAUGUCUUUUAUUUGCAGUUUAUUGUUGUGCGUGAUGAAGAUUGGCUGGAGGCGGAGGAGGCUACGGUGAGGCAGCAAUACAGGAUGCGCAGCUUUGCAGAUGGCCAUGGAGCGAGGGGCGAGUGAGAAGGUGAAGGGAGUGCAGGGUUUUCGCAAGGAGACAGUGCGGACCCCUCCAAAUGCAUGGUUUUUUUUAAUAUUAAAACAUCUUUUUUCUAACACGAAAUAUUUUUUUGAUAAUUCUUAAAGCUUCCAAACAUGGUUUUCACAAAAGGUGUUUUCAUCUAAUAUAUUUCUCUUCUGGCGAAAAUCUACCCAACCAGUGACGUAGUUGUACAGGGCCGGCCCUGGUGUAUGGCCGGCGGGGCGACGCCCAGGGCCCAGGCCAGGAAGGGGCCCAUGACUUAUAGUAAAUAUACACACUGUCGUUCAGUAAAAAAUAGAUAAAAAAAUCAGAUGAAAACUAGAUGGCAAGGCCAUCAGAUAACAACCGAUCGAUUGGCGAAGCAUCACGCUAGCCAUCCGAAUAGCAAGAGUCACGCUAGCUUUCUUCUGCUCAUCGGUUCGUCGGCCUGUUUGUCGGGGUCGCUCGGCGUCUAGCUUGUCGCCUCGACCGGCCGCCGCCAAAAGGCGCCGCACGGCAGUCCGGCCAUCCGGCAUCCAGCACGCGGUAAUCCGCAGCAGUACGAUUGUAUACGAGCUAAAGCCAAGAAGGCCCGGGCGUCCGGCCAUCCGGCAAGAUCCAUCCAACAUCCAUCCAUCGGCACUUCAGCAGCAGUAAUCAGUAGUAAUACCGGUACGUAUCCAUGAUCCACUCAUCCAUCAGGAGCAGGAGUAGUACGUAUGAACGUAUCGAUGAUCCACCUAUGUUCCCAAUCCAUACCCCCAAACACCAAUUUGACCAUUUCGAUAGUAUAUUUUAUUCUAUAUAUAUUUAGUGUGUACGUAUUCAACUAUUUAUCCAUGUAUGUCUAGGGUUCCAAUCAUCUGAUAUAUAAAUUUGUAAUUUUUUGUAUCCUCUUUUCUCAUAAUUUUAGGACGUUAACCUGUCAUGUUGUCUAAGAAGAAGCAAUUGUCCGAGGUGGCGCUGUUUCUUGAAAGUCUUGCAAGCAAACGAUCUUAACAAGGUCAACAAUGGAAGCAGAACUCACAGAUACAGCUACGGUUGAAGCAGAUUGGCUUCGCCGGCUCUUGAAUGACUUGUCAGUUGUCGAGAAACCUGUACCGAGUAUCCUUAUGAACUGCGACAAUCAAACUGUGAUCACGAAAGUGAGCAGCUCAAAGGAUAACAUGAAGUCAUCAAGACACAUCCAGAGAAGGUUAAAAUCUGUCAGGAAAAUGAGAAACUCCGGAGUUAUUGCAUUAAAAAUCUGGCAGAUCCUUUUACUAAGGGGGCUAUCACGUAAUGUGAUAGAUAAUGCAUCGAGGGAGAUGGGUAUGAGACCCACAAUUUGAGUUGUUCACAGCGGUAACCUAUUCUUUGUGAUCGGAGAUCCCGUGAAUUAGAUGUGGAAGACAAGUUGUUGGUCAACUGAGAGGAAAGUAUCCUUAUCAUUAAUAAUACCACUUCAUGAAGAUGCAAUACUUUCCUAAACUGCAUGGCAGGUUGAUAUACAUCUUAAUAUAUUCUAAGUGGCUUACUGAAGCAGAGAUGUUGUCCUCCAGAACAUCUUUUGGAGAACAUACAUAUAUGAGUCAGAUUGUUAAACGUCGCAAUCUAUGAGAGUAGGGUGCUCUCUAGUAUACUCAUGAAAGGUCUCGGAGUAUGACGCAUAAGCUCCACCCGCGGGGAAGUCCCACGGUAGCCUAGUAUCGAUCAAAGCUUUGUGUGAAGCUAGAUUCGCAGAAAACUUGCAGUUCAAGGCCUAAUCCACUAUUCAAGUUGCUUACUAGUGUAGCAUAGAGUUCUAGGUGGAAGUUCAACUUAACAGUCUCCAUUGCAGUAUCGGUAUAUAAAACAGUGUUUUGGAACCAAAGGCAAUUUUUGUGUGUCUCUCGGAUCUGAUGGGGGAUUGCUGGAAUUUUGUCUACUUUUGGGCCAGCCCAAUAUAUAAUUUCAGAAAAUUUCUAAUAAAUCCUAGAGGCCCACGCAGCCCAUUUGUGCAAGGCAAGAGGUGGAAAUGUUUAGUCCCAUUUUGCUAGUUUAGUGGGAGUUGGACCUCCUUAUAAGAGAGGAUGUUUCCACACAUGUAUGAGCUUGAGAACAAGAGAGGCAUACACGCGCGCUUCUCCUCCUCCGCCGCUCGCCUCGUCACGACGCGCCGCGGAAACGAGCCGAACUAAAUUUUUGCCACGCACGACUAGUAUACGAAAGGUCACUCGGAAAUUGAAUGUUUUGCUGUAGUGGAUAUUGAAAGCGACGCAACACUCUUCGGUUGUUGUUCGUUUCAUUUCCCUCGCUCUCUUCGGCUCCCGUGGUGGAUAUUGUCUGCUCCCCCGCGGAUGAUGGAGGUAGCUUUCUUCAUUGGAUUGCGCACAUCCAGCCGCACUCUCGCCCUAUAGAAGUUGCCCUUAAAAUCAAAGGAGGGCAGCUCUGAGUCCACAAACUCACCCGAUUUUGAUGUCAAGGUUUUCACUUUACCUUUAUUUGCUAUGGGCAGGUCAAUGAUCCGUGCCCAAAUCUCGAACUUGUAGAGCUCUGUUGAAGUUGGCUUGAAAUAUCCAUCAUAUGGAGCAAUGAUCACUCGAUUGCCUCUGAAGUGCCACGACCCCCCUUGGGUGACCUUCUCCCAGUCUCUCAGGCACUUGAACUGCAUCAUGAACAAGGUUUCCUCCAAGGUUUUGAUCUUGACUGUCCUGGCCAGAUCCCACGUCGUUCUCAUUUUGCGGAAGAACCAGUAGGAGCUAAACCCCGUGUCCAUGUGUACAUGGUCAAGGAUCAUCCAGCGGAUAUCUUCCUCCGCUGGGGCAUCAGAUUCUUCAAAGACGACAUAGUGUAGGUCAUCUUCUUGCAAGGCAAGUUUUUUCAUGAGAUCCUCCACCUUGCCAACCCUCAUGGCGAUAAUGAUGACGAGUCCCCGCGACACGCCAUCCUUCAAAAUCGAGACAGAUCGAUCCGACGAUCCCAUCAGAAAAGCUGCCGAAAAACCCCAACCCCUCCCAACCAAUCGAAGGUACCAGGCAGCGCCGCAAGGCUGCCACCAACACGAGGGCAAAGAACCGGCAAACCAUAUUUGGCGAUGCAUGCGCUGGUUAAAGUGCAUUUUUCUUAACCGGCGCGUACAACGUUCGGUCAUGGACUGGCCCAGCGAGAGGAGGUGGGUUCCGGUUUUAUGAAGGUUUUGGAAUCUUCCUAGAUGUUUUUUUUNNNNNNNNNNNNNNNNNNNNNNNNNNNNNNNNNNNNNNNNNNNNNNNNNGUUUUUCGAUUUUAUGAACCUUUUGUGUUCACUUUUUUUUUGCUUUUUGUUUAUAAAAAAAUCCGUCCUGAAACUAGUUUUUCGCUGGGCCUGGCCCGUUUACGCGACCCCUCCGUCUUCCUUCCCGUCGCCUCCCCAGGAAGAAAGCUUCCCUCUUUUCCCCUCGCCUCGCCGGCAGGAAGAAAGCUUCGAUCUUUUCCCCUCGCCUCGCCUCGCCGGCAGGAAAUCUCCAAAACCCUAGCCGUCGCCGACGAUGUGGCCGUUGCCCACGCCGCCUCCCCCUUCCUCUUCACCAUCAGAAUCGGAUGCAUCUCCCCUUCCCGUGCCCUCCCCUCCCCCACCAGCUGCAGCGUCCAGGGCCACCUCUCCACCACCAUCCGCAGCCGCCGCAAGCCGAUCCCCUCCCGUCCCCUGCACUCCACCGCCGGCCGCAGCCUCCACAGGCCGAUCCCCUCUAGUCCCCUGGACUCCACCGCCGGCCGCAGCCUCCACAAGCCGAUCCCCUCCCGUCCUGCCUCGCCGCACUUAUACACCAAUAAAUCUUCCAGACGAACGCCGCUACUGCAGUCGGCCACAGCCUCCACGGUAUGACUUCAUCGACAUCCCUCACUCUGCUCCCUAUUUCUAAUGGCUUGGAACGACAGCCAUACCUGCAUGUUCUGCACUGGCCUUUGAGUAGUCUCCAUUAGCAGGAUCAUCGAACCCGAGAAUACGGAUACAUAAUAUAAUAUACUAUAAUCUCUGUUGCACCUGUAUACCAAUUCAAUGAGAGCUGGUGCCGUUGCAUUUUCCACGAGACAAUUAUCUUGAUGUUCUUUGAUUUAUUCUCUCUUGGAGCAUCCUUAAUAAAUAGAGCCAACUGCUGGCUAUAUCACAUUGCCUUGUCACUUAGAGUUGGUCUAGUAGCCCACCCCAUUGCAGUCAUCAUAUACUACUAUCUUAAUACAUGGCUCACCUCUAACGAAACCUUUUCAAGCUUAUAUCAUGUUAUUAUACUUGCUCUCGUUUGCUAGUUUGUCCAACACCUAUUCUUGUUCUGACCCACUUUUUGUCCAAGAGUCAGCAGAUCAUUAGAAAAAGAGCUAUUUAUCAAAGCUAUUAAUGGUCAGAUUGAAUUAUUCUGUUCGAGAGCAUGAGGCUUUGUAAAAAAGUACUCUUUUGACCCAUAUCACGACCAAAUGUCUUUGAUUCUGAAAAUCUGCAUUGGUUUCUGGAGUGCUUCUUUUUUAGUUAAUAAUAACUACUUAGUUUUAAGAAAGGUUAGUUUUUCUUUUGAGAUAAGGAGUUAGGUUAACUAGUUUUUUUAGGAACGCCUAUAGUUCUAUUCACGCUCCCAACCAUUACAGAUACAAUGAUUUCGAUCCAUUAUCAAAGAAAUUGCAAAGUAACUCGUACAACUAAGAAUCACAAUGAGAUCUCUUGGAGACAUCUUCUCCUUGGUAUCAGUCUUUGCACAAUAUAUAUAUUCCACAAACUUAUUAUCUUUUGUUUUUUCAGUUGUGAGGACACUGAGCAGGCAGUGCGUAUUGAGGCCCCACCAUCGCCAAACCACUUUCCACCUGUUUCAGCAUUGAGGCCAACAAGAUUGCUAAUUAAGU
rnacentral:lncRNA from 1 species